rnacentral:rRNA from 1 species
AUUGAACGCUGGCGGCAUGCCUUACACAUGCAAGUCGAACGGUAACAGGUCUUCGGAUGCUGACGGGUGGCGAACGGGUGAGUAAUACAUCGGAACGUGCCUAGUAGUGGGGGAUAACUACUCGAAAGAGUGGCUAAUACCGCAUGAGAUCUACGGAUGAAAGCAGGGGAUCGCAAGACCUUGUGCUACUAGAGCGGCCGAUGGCAGAUUAGGUAGUUGGUGUGAUAAAAGCUUACCAAGCCGACGAUCUGUAGCUGGUCUGAGAGGACGAUCAGCCACACUGGGACUGAGACACGGCCCAGACUCCUACGGGAGGCAGCAGUGGGGAAUUUUGGACAAUGGGCGAAAGCCUGAUCCAGCAAUGCCGCGUGCAGGAUGAAGGCCUUCGGGUUGUAAACUGCUUUUGUACGGAACGAAAAGCCCCGGGUUAAUACCCUGGGGUCAUGACGGUACCGUAAGAAUAAGCACCGGCUGACUACGUGCCAGCAGCCGCAGUAA